GAUUAUGCUCAGGACUCUACUUCAUCAAUUGUUUAAACCUUUCCCAAGCUUCAUACAAGUGUUCAUCAAAUUGUUGAUUAAAAUUGAGAAUGUUGUCUCUAGAAUC